GACGAACGCUGGCGGCGUGCCUAAUACAUGCAAGUAGAACGCUGAAGGAGGAGCUUGCUCUUCUGGAUGAGUUGCGAACGGGUGAGUAACGCGUAGGUAACCUGCCUGGUAGCGGGGGAUAACUAUUGGAAACGAUAGCUAAUACCGCAUAACAGUAGAUGUUGCAUGACAUUUACUUAAAAGGUGCAAUUGCAUCACUACCAGAUGGACCUGCGUUGUAUAGCUAGUUGGUGGGGUAACGGCUCACCAAGGCGACGAUACAUAGCCGACCUGAGAGGGUGAUCGGCCACACUGGGACUGAGACACGGCCCAGACUCCUACGGGAGGCAGCAGUAGGGAAUCUUCGGCAAUGGACGGAAGUCUGACCGAGCAACGCCGCGUGAGGGAAGAAGGUUUUCGGAUCGUAAAGCUCUGUUGUAAGAGAAGAACGAGUGUGAGAGUGGAAAGUUCACACUGUGACGGUAUCUUACCAGAAAGGGACGGCUAACUACGUG
rnacentral:rRNA from 1 species